rnacentral:tRNA from 2 species
GCCGUGAUCGUAUAGUGGUUAGUACCUUGCGUUGUGGCCGCAAUACCCAGGUUCGAAUCCUGGUCACGGCA